GCCAAAUCGAGAGGCAAGGGCAUCGCGGGCUAGAGUUUUGGCUUGGUUUGAGAUGCGGAAGACCUGGCAGAAUCAUAUAAAUCGAUGGUUGGCCAUUUUCUUCAUAUUUUGAGUUCUAAACUUCGGAUUUGGGAGCUUCUUUUGGGGUUUUUCAAGCAAAUCGAUUGGUUAAUUUGGUUAGAUUUGAGCCGUCCGGAGGUCUUUUCAC